rnacentral:tRNA from 1 species
UGAGCACGAUAGGACUUGAACCUAUAACAUCAAGAUUAUCGGUCUUGCGCUCUGCCAUUGAGCUACGUGCUC